GGAGGCGUUGGGUGCCUGGUGGCCCUCCCGGUCUACAAAACCGAUGGGGCGGCGUUGACGUCGCUGGCGGGUUCGAUUCCCGUUCGCCUCCGC
rnacentral:tRNA from 3 species